rnacentral:lncRNA from 1 species
CGUCCAUCUGUGAAAUUGAAAACCAAAUUUGAAAUUUCCAAAUCCAAUUAACCCUAAAUCUUCCCCCUAUGCUCACGGCGGAGGCAGCUGCUCAGGUACACGAGGGCAUAAAUUUGGCGAUCUCCCGAUGGGCUUCUCUUCGAAUGGCUGUCGAGAAUGAGUGGGGGCGGUUGUGAUUCUGCCCAGAAAUCCCAACAACUCGCCCCAAGUUAUCUUUCACACCUCGUUCAAUCCAAAGGUAUUUUCUUUAUUCGUAUUUCAUUGAAGGAUUGAUAUCUUCGUGCUUGUACUUUUCUACCAACGCCAAGUAAAAUAUAUCUUCUUUAAGAUGUUAAUGUUUAUCGUUAAGCUUUUCUGCAAUCUUAAUAACUCGAGGGCUGUCAACAAUUUGAAUAACAAAGUUAUGCUGAGCAACUUCUUAAAUUACUUUCUUAACUUCUAUAACAGCAACUUCUAAAACCUGCUCAGCACUAACACACACACACACAGAGAAGAGGGACGGGACCUGCAGAAAUCGGAGAAGGGGGAAUUACGGAAGGCAGAGCGAGAGGAAGAGCGAGAAUUGGCUCCCCAACCCAUGCCUAGGGUUUUCUGGGUUGUAUUCUUCUUCUUCUUAUCAUUCUUCGUACUUUUAGCACCACUGCUACUGGUUUUGUUAGAAGGAUUAGAAGAGAUUGAAUUGAAGCCCCGUUUCGAAUUCGAAACAGAGUUUCCGGAGCGAGUCGAAUCGAAACUCAUCUUCACGAAUCACGAAUUAUGCAAUUGCAUUUUGAGAUGUUCAGAGAUUAAAAAAUAUUAAGAAACUUGCAGAGAAUGCAUUUGAAAUGAAUAGGAAAUUUUCUUAUAAUUUUGAGUUUACAUUUAACCACCGAUCGACCAUUUGCGGGAGCGGGACGAGAUUGCCUGCAGUGCUAUGCGGUGCAAUGUUUUGAUCACUAUAUUCCAUAGAAAAAAUAUAUGAAAAAGGAAAAAAGAAAAAGAACUAAAAAUUUAGCCCCUGGUUGGCCUUCAUUAAUUUCUAUUUCAUUAAAUUUCUUUUUU